AUUGAACGCUGGCGGCAAGCUUAACACAUGCAAGUCGAGCGGAGAGAGGUAGCUUGCUACUGAUCUUAGCGGCGGACGGGUGAGUAAUGCUUAGGAAUCUGCCUAUUAGUGGGGGACAACAUUUCGAAAGGAAUGCUAAUACCGCAUACGUCCUACGGGAGAAAGCAGGGGAUCUUCGGACCUUGCGCUGAUAGAUGAGCCUAAGUCGGAUUAGCUAGUUGGUGGGGUAAAGGCCUACCAAGGCGACGAUCUGUAGCGGGUCUGAGAGGAUGAUCCGCCACACUGGGACUGAGACACGGCCCAGACUCCUACGGGAGGCAGCAGUGGGGAAUAUUGGACAAUGGGCGCAAGCCUGAUCCAGCCAUGCCGCGUGUGUGAAGAAGGCCUUAUGGUUGUAAAGCACUUUAAGCGAGGAGGAGGCUACUCUAGAUAAUACCUAGAGAUAGUGGACGUUACUCGCAGAAUAAGCACCGGCUAACUCUGUGCCAGCCGCCGCAGUAAUAC
rnacentral:rRNA from 1 species